rnacentral:lncRNA from 1 species
CAGCGUCAGACGAAGGACCAGUGCCUCCAAUAGGCGAAAACUUUCUUCUGUAUGUAAACCAGAGACGAGCACUGACAUCCAGCAGUAACUUGGAUUUGUCUUCGUUCAAGUGGUGCUGCCUUCCCAGAAUCCACACCGGCUCAUCGGUGUCGGGAAAUUCUUCUAAGUAGUCGGACAGAAUAGUGAUCUGGUUUUCAUACCUGACUCCAUCCUCCCGCCGUCACCAUCCUCCUCCUCCUCCUCCUCCUCG